rnacentral:sRNA from 2 species
GCCUGAUUCAUUGAUCGAUCUUCUGGGUCUUUUCCCGGAUACUUCACGUUCCAGCCAAAGCCGCCGUUCGUCGCCUUCGCCUUCGUCCAUUUCUCGUCCCCGAUGACACCAAUAGUAAUACCUUCCGGUACACGGGUUUCUGCAGAAUCACGUCCAGUUACUACUGCCGAAUCUAAAAUUAUGGGGACAGUGGGAAGCUGGGCCUGAUUUCAAAAUAACUCAGAAAGUUCAGAAAGCGUAGCCCUCGGUUGAGGCUGAAGCUGUUGAAUACCUUUGCUGUGCCAACGACAUGUGCGGUAUGCUAGCAGUUCAAGAAGC